rnacentral:rRNA from 2 species
CCUACGGGGGGCUGCAGUGGGGAAUAUUGGGCAAUGGGCGCAAGCCUGACCCAGCAACGCCGCGUGAGGGAAGAAGGUCUUCGGAUUGUAAACCUCUGUCCUUAGGGACGAAAAAAAUGACGGUACCUAAGGAGGAAGCUCCGGCUAACUACGUGCCAGCAGCCGCGGUAAUACGUAGGGAGCAAGCGUUGUCCGGAAUUAUUGGGCGUAAAGGGUGCGUAGGCGGCACUGCAAGUCAGAUGUGAAAUCCCCGGGCUUAACUCGGGAGUUGCAUUUGAAACUGCAGAGCUUGAGUAAAGAAGAGGUAAGUGGAAUUCCUAGUGUAGCGGUGGAAUGCGUAGAUAUUAGGAGGAACACCAGUGGCGAAGGCGACUUACUGGUCUUUUACUGACGCUGAGGCACGAAAGCGUGGGGAGCAAACAGGAUUAGAUACCCCUGUAGUC